rnacentral:rRNA from 1 species
AUGUCAAUGUGGCGCUUCUCCCGCCCCCUCCUCCGCGCCGCCGCCGGCGCGGGCGCCUCGGCCGCCGCGCCGCCGCGCGCGCGGGCCGCCGCAGUCGCUUUCAGGCUGCCCCCGCCGCCGCAGACGCCGUGCGGCCUCUUCCAGCAGCGGUUCCGCUUCGCGUCGCUGCCGGCGGCGGAUGCGGCCGCGGGGAGGGACCCGGAGGCCGAGGUGACGGCGGAGGAGGCGAGGCGGCUCAUGCGGAUGGCCAACGUGGAGGCGCUCAAGCGGCGGCUCGGGGACGGCGAGGUGAUCCCCUACGCGGAGCUGCUGCGCAAGUGCGAGGAGGCCGGCGCCGCCCGCACCCGCGCAGAGGCCACCGCGCUCGCCGGCGCGCUCGACGAGGCCGGCGUCGUGCUCCUCUUCCGCGACAAGGUCUACCUCCAGCCCGACAAGAUUGUGGAUCUUGUAAGAAAAGCUAUGCCCCUUGCACUGACACCCGAGGAUGAUCCAAGGAAGGAAGAGCUCAAGCAACUCCAGACACAUUUGGAAGAAAUCAACAAGCUUGCACACAAGCAAGUCCGGCGUAUCCUCUGGUCUGGGCUAGGGUUCCUGAUCACGCAGGUCGGGCUCUUCUUCAGGCUGACCUUCUGGGAGUUCUCGUGGGACGUCAUGGAGCCCAUCACAUUCUUCACAACUGCGACGGGUCUGGUUGUCGGGUACGCCUACUUCCUCAUCACAUCAAGGGAUCCGACGUACCGGGACUUCAUGGAGAGGAUGUUCCAGUCCCGGCAGAGGAAGUUGAUCCAGAGGCAGAAGUUCAACCUGGACAGGUACCUGGAGCUGCAGAGGUGCUGCAAAGAUCCUCUGGAGAAGAUCUGCGGCACAAGCCAUUUCUCCAACGCCGACAUCGCUCAUCUGCACGAGUUGUCUGUUCACAAGUGA